rnacentral:lncRNA from 13 species
GGUUUCUCUCAUCCAAUCAGAACAUGAAAAACACUCCUUAGCGGGGGAUGUUGUCUUGCCAUGUCAGGCUCUUCUGGAUUGGCCGAUCUAGCUGCUCGUGCCCCGGCUUAGCCGAGAAAGAAGAGAAAUCACCUGUCUCUCAUGCUGGAGCCUGGCGCUUGCAGUACCGUGGCUUGCCUCUCUGUUGCGCUGUUGCGGUUGGUGACAGCAAGGGAGACUACAGGGCAGCCGAAAAGACUCCCUACUCUAGAGAGUCAUCUCCUCCAGCAAGAGGGUACUGGGCUUGCAAUGUUUCCGCGGGAAUCCUGAGCAGGGCAGGGAGCCCAGACCCGUCGUGGUUCCCAGGUGCGUGCCUUCUCAUUCUGUGUUGCAGAGACUGCCUGGGACCCCCGGGGCAUGCAGUAGCGGACACCACGGGGUGACAGGGCCCUGUGGUGGAGGCCUCAGGAAUGGGAAUGGGCACUUUGGUGGGGAGGGCUGGCUAGCGCUGAGAUUCUGCUGCUCCUGCUUCCCGAUCAUCAGCCCGGGUGGGCCCAGUGGUUCCUGUCGAGUGGGAAACCCAGGCACCAUGGUGUCUCCAGUCCCCACUCUAGGCCUCAGUUCCUGGUCAGCUUGGGCCAAAAGGAGGGGCUGGACUCUGGAGGGUGGGUGUUAGUGCCCUGGCUGAAACUGGCCCCUGCCACGAAGUGGCCAGCAUGACAAGGUAGGGCUCUAAUGCUAACACUCUCUGCAUCCUGUUCUAGGCUUUUCUGGCUUUGCCCACCAGCUGUUCGGUGCCAGGAGAAGGAAGGAGCCACCUGCCACAUGCUAGAGGCUAGAGCCUGUGGCACCACGGCUCACCUCACUGCAGUUGGUGACAGCCAUGGAAACUGCAGAGCGCUGGAGGAGUAGGAAGGUUGCUGGCUGCCGCCAGGGCGGGCGCAGGGCUGUGGUGGUGGCCAGAUGGUAGGAGUCUUGUAUGAUGGGUCGCUGUGUUUAGGGUGACCACUUAGGGUGACCACCACGCCCAGUUAAUUUUAGUAGAGACAGCGUUUGGCCAUGUUGGCCAGGCUGGUCUCGAACUCCUGAACUCAAGUGAUCCACCCACCUUGGCCUCCCAAAGUGUUGGGAUUACAGGCAUGAGCCAUCACACCUGGCCCCACCUAUGACUCCUAAUCAGUCAAUGUGUGUUCAGAGAGGUGAACCAAAUCAAUCACAGAGGUGAGUUAAUUUGCCCAAACCAAUUCACAGAGGUGAGUUAAUUUGCCCAAAUCACCACUUCCAUGGAAGUAAGAUUUAAGAUUUGAAUACUAGCACUUUAAGAUGAAAACAAUGAAAUGGUACAUUCUAAAAGCAGUCUAUAAUGCUGCACACCCACAAAGCCAGCUCCGGCCUCAUGGAACAAGAGAGGACACAGCAUACCCCAGAAAGCAAUUCAGAACUGGGUGCAAGUACCUAAAUGAGGACCUGGGCCAGUCCUGGACAGUGAGAAGAGGUCGCGUCCGUUCCAAAACACAUUGUGGUCAUCUGUUAUUUAUGAUUGCAUGUCAUGUAUUUGAAUAAACUCAGGAUCAAUAACUUUAGUAAGCUGAGU